GAUGAACGCUGGCGGCGUGCCUAAUACAUGCAAGUCGAACGAUGAAGCCGGAGCUUGCUCUGGUGAAUUAGUGGCGAACGGGUGAGUAACACGUGAGUAACCUGCCCUUGACUCUGGGAUAACUGCGGGAAACUGUAGCUAAUACCGGAUACGACCCUCGGAGGCAUCUCCUGGGGGUGGAAAGAAUUUCGGUCAAGGAUGGACUCGCGGCCUAUCAGCUAGUUGGUGAGGUAAAGGCUCACCAAGGCGACGACGGGUAGCCGGCCUGAGAGGGUGACCGGCCACACUGGGACUGAGACACGGCCCAGACUCCUACGGGAGGCAGCAGUGGGGAAUAUUGCACAAUGGGCGCAAGCCUGAUGCAGCAACGCCGCGUGAGGGAUGACGGCCUUCGGGUUGUAAACCUCUUUUAGCAGGGAAGAAGCGAGAGUGACGGUACCUGCAGAAAAAGCACCGGCUAACUACGUGCCAGCCGCCGCCGUAA
rnacentral:rRNA from 1 species